UGAGGUAGCUUGCCGGGAAGGUUCAACUUUGCAGAUGGCGAGUUUUUACCUUAGCCUUUCGCCGCAUGGUGAAUCCGCGCUGUUCCACAUUGCUUGUGCGGAAAUAUGGCCUCAUUUCUCCCUAUUAGGGUAGUGGGUAAGACAUUCUAGUAAUAUGAACCUAUUGGGGCAUUAGUGUUCUUGCAACUACCCCACCAUACCCUCUUGGAGUACUCAAAUUUGGAACGAGAGGCGCGAACCUCAAUAAGGAGUUUUACUUCGUGGGAAAUUUAAUCUAACAUGUUGCAUUUCAACUGGGGAGGUCGGAAACCGAAAGCCUCCUCCCUGUAGACGGAGGAGAGCCGUCCCCUGAGGAGAAAUGGUCUGGCAAGAGGCAGUCUAUUGGGAAGCCUAAAAACAGUUUAUGAAGUCCCUGCGCGGACGCUAUGGGUGCAUCAUGCAGUUCCUCUUGAGGCAUAAUAAUAGCAGCUACUCUUUAGGGGGCUCUCACUAUUGUCAGUGAUCUCCCGCCAAAGACCACCGAGAACGCCCCUAUAGUUGAACAAAGUUGGGCUUACUGUCUCCUUGCAAAGAGAGGAGGCACGGCCUGGGGAACAGCAGGCAUCUCGUGAAGAGGGUGCUGGAAAGAAUUUACAGGAUUUGGGUUUGUGUGAGGGAAUUUGGAGAAGGGUUCGUUGAAGGAGGCCUCUCUGGAUUGAAUGCUAUUAGAUACAGAAGGCAAGUUAUGAAGUUGGCAAAAAAUAGUGAGAAAUCCAGAAACAGACUACUGGAAUCUUCACUUUGGGCCAUUGUUGAUGCUCAGCAUCACUCCAGAUCUCCAGCUGCCUAAUAAACCAGGACUCCUGAGGCAAAUCACUUAUUCCAGAGCUGGGACACAGGAGGUACAAGAUGAACCUGGAACAUCAUUUAUGCUAUAAAGUAAGGAAUUACUAAAAAUAAGAAUGGGCACAUGUCUUGAAGGCAAAGGAGCCAACCUGAAGAAAUUUCUACUGACUCUAUCUGGAUAUUUUAGCACCAGAAUAAUUAAGGAAUGUAAUAAAUUAUAAACCAUUAAAUAGAAAAAUAUGAAUCCCAAAUUAUAAAUAAAUAAAUAAAUAAA